rnacentral:tRNA from 1 species
GGCUACGUAGCUCAGCUGGUUAGAGCACAGCAUUCAUAAUGCUGGGGUCGGUGGUUCAAGUCCACCCGUAGAUACCA